AACAGUUCCGAUAGUGUGGCGAUAAUGUGAGACCUUCCAACAACAUCGCAUGUGGGGUCAAUAUUGACUACUUCACACCAGAUUAUGGAACUUGCCCCAAUGCUGAAGGCAACUUCCCAGGCGGAUGUUCAGUGGCACUUAACGAAACUUCAUUUGACAGGACGAUAACUGUGAGCGUCAGUGCUGCGGAAACAGGACAGUACGGCGUUGCCGGGAAGUUCACUCUGUUCUUACAAAUACCCAGAACUAGAGGAGUCGCCCUUUUUUCAGUCCCUUACAAACUGCCUGAAAUAGAGGUUGAAGUACUUCCAGAAAUGGAUCGACAAUGGCGUGGAAAACUAUGUACAGCCCGAAAUGAUCCACACAUGUAUACAUUUGAUGGCAGGUCGUAUGAACAUCACGCUGAAGAAGGAGACUACAUCUUGUACAAGCACUCUGUGUAUGGAAAUGUCGAGGUCCAGCAUAGAAUAGCAAAUUGCACGGAUGGCCAAAGUCGAGCGAAAUGUAACUGUGGCGUGGCAGUAAGGGCUGGACGUGACGUCUACGUCAUCACGUGUGUAAUGGAUACUUCGACAUUGGCUACAGGCAGUGCUGGGAUAAGGCGUUAACAGUGAAAAAAGAAAACGACUAUACAUACACGAUCUAUUUGCCAUACGGCACUGCAGUCAGGGCGCGGAUAGACAGCGCACCGUUUAUGGGUGCGCAAGGAGGCAGAGUUUUGGACAUUUCCGUAAAUCCGUCUAUUCAAGAUAGCAGUGGGAAUAGUACAGGGUUAUGUGGAUCCCUUAAUGGUAAUUCGGCGGAUGAUUUUGACAAUGAAACGCAAUUUAUAAACGAAUGGAAAGUGCAAAGAAAUGCAUCCUUGUUCACCAACGAUUCGUAUCAUAAAGAUCUUGAGCCUUGGGUUUUUCCAACGUGCACAUGCAAGAAAGCGACCGGAGGAAACGGCGCAUAUUCGUGUGACAGGAGUAUCGCAGGAUGUACCCGAGGGACGCUUGCUGGUUACCAUAGUUGCGGUGAGCUGAUAGAAAGUCGUCCAGUGAGAUCCACGACAAAACAAUCAAGAAAACCAGUGAUAAAGAUACCAGUCUUGCACCAGCGAUUCCAUGUCCGAAAUCGUCGAAGCGCAGACGUAGGGACGGACGAUAAGGCUCGAAGUCUUUGUGAGCAGCAAUUAAAAGCAAUACAGGACAUGUGUUAUAAAAUUCCAGACACACACACGAACGUGUCUUUGGAAAAUUGCGUGCUGGAUAUAAAG